rnacentral:misc_RNA from 1 species
GAUGAAGAACGUAGCGAAAUGCGAAAAGUAAUGUGAAUUGCAGAAUUCAGUGAAUCAUCGAAUCUUUGAACGCACAUUGCGCCCGCCAGUAUUCUGGCGGGCAUGCCUGUCUGAGCGUCAUUUCAACCCUCACGCCCCUAGGGCGUGGUGUUGGGGAUCGGCCAGCGCCCGUGAGGGCAAGGCCGUCCCCCAAAUCUAGUGGCGGACCCGUCGUGGCCUCCCCUGCGAAGUAGUGAUAUUCCGCAUAGGAGAGCGACGAGCCCCUGCCGUUAAACCCCCAACUUUCUCAGGUUGACCUCAGAUCAGGUAGGAAUACCCGCUGAACUUAAGCAUAUCAAUAAGCGGAGGA